UCUGGUGCAGCCAGGGCAUUUCAGAGCAGUGAGAGCAGGGGGUGACACGGGCUGAACACUUGGGACAGAGCUGGAGCACGCCUUAGAACAAGGGACAUGAAGUGGAGGAGAAAGCAGAGCUGAGGAGGAUGAAGUGGGGAACCAAGCAAGUGGCAUUACAGGUAGGCCAAAAUUGGGAUUGAGCAAGAGAGAUCAAAGUAAACUGGAGCUAAAUGCAGCUGAGAGAAAUAUGAAACUAAUUUACAAAACCCCAAGUCGCUUUAUGAUCUGAACAAGAGAGAUCAGUGCUGGAAACUGCAACACGGUUCCUACAUGGCAAAGGCAAGAACACUGAGAGGAAUGGUUCAGCAAAUUACUUGCAUAUGAGCCAGUCCAGGCAGUAAAUGGUUCAUCUGAUAAUUUGCUGCUUUAAAUGUGGAGCUGAGUUGGUCUUUGUGUUUUCAUACUUGCUGUCUCUGUUUAGUGACACUUUCAAAUUGCAGUUUGAAAUGACUUUGUAAUAUUGUCUUCCUAGGGACAAUUACCUCUUCA